GACCUUACUUGAACAAGAUCUGUUCUAUAGAUACCACUGUAUCUUUGAUUUCUAAGGAGAUAGAAAACCAAGUCUGGUGGAUGAAUUGUGGCCAUUAGACCAGAGCAUGAUUAACAACAAUCAUGGCCUUUCAGGGUCCUCCAUGGUGCCGUAGAUGAUCGUUCUCAGCUCCCGAUCAUGGAGCUUGGGAUGAUCUAAUGGCUAUCUGACAGACU
rnacentral:snoRNA from 2 species